CUUUACGAGGAAUUCUACACUGUCACACUUGCACCACGUCAUCAAUAACAAGCCAAUCACAUUCAUUCUUUUCAAACAAAAGUACAAUAAAAAUACUUUUUUACAAUCAUGAUGGGAUAUAUAUUCUUAAAAGGAUUAACUUGAUUGGUUUGUUACGCCACGUCACUAAUAUACCCGUUGCAUUCUAGAAUUUUUCCGACUUUACGGCCCCGUGCAGCUUAUUGCCGAAAAAGCAAUAUAGCAUUAUUUAUUAAAAAAUUUUAUUAUAUUUUAUUAAUUUAUGUAAAAAUAAUUAUCCUGCAAUCAAAGGCUCAGCUCGGGAUUGCGAAAAAUUUGCAAUAUGUACAACACAAAAUACAAUAAAAAAUUUAUUAUAUUUAUUUUUAAAUAUAAUAAAUAUAACAUUAUGUUUGACAUAGUAAUUGUAAUAUAUUUUCUACCGUCCCAAUAAAAAAUAAAAAAAAUAUCUUUUUUAUACACUCAACUCUUUUUUAUCUACUGUUUUAGCAAACGGGCCCUAAAUAGUUAACAUAUAUUAGUAUUUUUUAAAAUCCAUGAUAAAUUAGAAAGGAAAAUAUUACGUGCCCUCCUAUUUAUAAAUAUAAAUCUUAUAAUUCUUUUACUCUAGAGUUCACAAAAAUUCAAACUGAGUUUUAGUUUAAAAAAUAUAUAAUUAAUGAGACAAAUUGAGUGUGAGAGUCCUAAGAUGAAUAAAGUGUUGCGCUGUAAACAUUCAAUUUUGUUGUUUUAGAAAGAAUAAUAAAAUAUUACCUGAUUUAACUUUUUUUUAAUAUUUUUUAUGUA
rnacentral:lncRNA from 1 species